rnacentral:rRNA from 1 species
UGGGGAAUCUUGCACAAUGGAGGAAACUCUGAUGCAGCGACGCCGCGUGAACGAUGAAGCCCUUCGGGGUGUAAAGUUCUUUCGACAGGGACGAUAAUGACGGUACCUGAAGAAGAAGCUGCGGCUAACUACGUGCCAGCAGCCGCGGUAAUACGUAGGCAGCGAGCGUUGUUCGGAAUUACUGGGCGUAAAGAGUGCGUAGGUGGUUGGCUAAGUUUGGUGUGAAAUCUCCCGGCUUAACUGGGAGGGUGCGCCGAAAACUGGCUGGCUAGAGUGUGGGAGAGGAACGUGGAAUUCCUGGUGUAGCGGUGAAAUGCGUAGAUAUCAGGAGGAACACCUGAGGUGUAGACGGCGUUCUGGACCAUUACUGACACUGAGGCACGAAAGCGUGGGUAGCAAACAGGAUUAGAUACCCUGGUAGUCCACACCGUAAACGUUGGGCGCUAGGUGUGGGACUCAUUCCACGAGUUCCGUGCCGCAGCUAACGCAUUAAGCCG